rnacentral:tRNA from 1 species
ACCUGAGUGGCUCAGUCGGUUAAGCGUCUGACUUCGGUUCAGGUCAUGAUCUCAUGGUUCGUGAGUUCGAGCCCCACAUCGGGCU